rfam:Xenopus laevis strain J chromosome 9_10L, whole genome shotgun sequence.
GCUCUGCCUUUGAACCUGUGAGUUGCCCCAGUGGCCUCACUGGCCAAGCAGCAGUGCAAGAGAAACUGGUUGGUUAUAACUGGUACUUCUCAGCCAAACCUGAGCUGUGCUUUUAACUACCCUCUACAGUC